rnacentral:rRNA from 1 species
UUAAUUUUUAAGUGAAAAAGCUUAAAUUAUCUUGGAGGACGAUAAGACCCUAUAGAUCUUUACACUCAUGAUUUCUCUAGGACGGGUGUUACUUUAGGGAGGCCCCCGGGUGUUCCGUUGGGGCGACGGUGGAAGUAGAAGCAACUUCUUCCUUUGAAGACAGUGAUCACUGACUUUUGAUCCUUUGAUGAACUGAGAGCAAGUUACCUUAGGGAUAACAGCGUAAUUCUCCUUGAGAGACCUAAUCGACAGGAGAGUUUGCGACCUCGAUGUUGGUUCAGGGAACCUCACUGGCGCAGCAGUAAGUGCAGGUAGUCUGUUCGACUAUUAAUUCCCU